UUACGAUCACACCACGUUGAAACACCAGUUUCCGUACGAUCACCAAAGUUAAGCAACGUCGAGCCUGGUUGGUAUCUAAAUGAGUGACCGCUUAGAAAUACCACGUGCUAUA